GACGAACGCUGGCGGCGUGCUUAACACAUGCAAGUCGAACGGAAAGGCCCUGCUUUUGUGGGGUGCUCGAGUGGCGAACGGGUGAGUAACACGUGAGUAACCUGCCCUUGACUUUGGGAUAACUUCAGGAAACUGGGGCUAAUACCGGAUAGGAGCUCCUGCUGCAUGGUGGGGGUUGGAAAGUUUCGGCGGUUGGGGAUGGACUCGCGGCUUAUCAGCUUGUUGGUGGGGUAGUGGCUUACCAAGGCUUUGACGGGUAGCCGGCCUGAGAGGGUGACCGGCAGAUUGGGGACGGAAGACGGGCCGAGACCCCACCGGGAGAAAGAAGGGGGGAAUAUUGCAAAAGGGGGGGAAGCCUGAUGCAGCACCGCCGGGUGGGGGAUGGCGGCCUUCGGUUUUAAAACCGCUUUCGCCGGUGACGAAGCGGGAGGAGCGGUAAUGUGUAAAGAAGCACCGGAUAACACCGUC
rnacentral:rRNA from 1 species